GAUCAUGGGCUCAGGAUGAACGCUAGCUACAGGCUUAACACAUGCAAGUCGAGGGGCAGCAUGACGAUAGCUUGCUAUUGUUGAUGGCGACCGGCGCACGGGUGAGUAACGCGUAUCCAACCUUCCCGUUGCUAGGGGAUAACCUUGCGAAAGUAAGACUAAUACCCUAUGAAGUUCUUCGCAGGCAUCUAAAGAGAACGAAAGAUUUAUCGGCAACGGAUGGGGAUGCGU
rnacentral:rRNA from 1 species